AACGAACGCUGGCGGCAGGCUUAACACAUGCAAGUCGAACGCCCCGCAAGGGGAGUGGCAGACGGGUGAGUAACGCGUGGGAAUCUACCCAACUCUACGGAAUAACUCAGGGAAACUUGUGCUAAUACCGUAUACGCCCUUCGGGGGAAAGAUUUAUCGGAGUUGGAUGAGCCCGCGUUGGAUUAGCUAGUUGGUGGGGUAAAGGCCUACCAAGGCGACGAUCCAUAGCUGGUCUGAGAGGAUGAUCAGCCACAUUGGGACUGAGACACGGCCCAAACUCCUACGGGAGGCAGCAGUGGGGAAUAUUGGACAAUGGGCGCAAGCCUGAUCCAGCCAUGCCGCGUGAGUGAUGAAGGCCCUAGGGUUGUAAAGCUCUUUCACCGGUGAAGAUAAUGACGGUAACCGGAGAAGAAGCCCCGGCUAACUUCGUGCCAGCAGCCGCUGUAACAC
rnacentral:rRNA from 1 species